GUUGAAGAGGUGGCCAGGAAAAGUAUUUUGAUGGCAGACUGGAGAGCAUCAUGAGAGUAAACUUUGGGCCUGUUGACUAUCAUCUCGGCAAUAAGUGUUGGGUCCUGGCCAAAGGGCUUGGAUGCAACAUGGGGCCAAUCAAUAAAUCCAUCCCCCAUGCUUUUCCUGGCCAUUAGAUAAUCAGCAGCCUAGUUCAUGUCUUGAUGGGAAGCUCUGCUAUGUGGAAGGAUCACAUCUUAGGUUUCUUGACAACUGGAUGACUUUUGAGAACAGAUCUAGGACAGAUCUAUUCUUGGAUUGUGGACAGGCAUCAGCCUACUAACAUCAUAUGGAACAGUUCUCCUUUACAGAAAGGGGCUAGGAUAAGGAGGAAAAACCAUCAGAAGAAAAGAUAAGACACUCUCUUCUCAUUCAGUAAGAGCCCCGCGCAAGGCAAGAAUCAGAGUCCAGCUCAGAAGGGGAAACUCUAGGAAGAGAGAAAUCCAUUCCAUGGACAACUGCCAAGAUAGAGCAGGACACCGUCAAGGACAUGAGCCAAAACUGCAAAAGGAUUGCUUGACUUUGGAAAAGAAACUAAAGGCCUCUGACACUGUACAUAUCAGUGAAAUGAGGAGACCCAUGAUGCCUGCUGUGGGGGAUCCAGAGAGGCCCACACUAGGCACAGUGAGUGACCCAGAUCUCAGUCUCAAGAGACCUCCCACUGCCACUUCAGAAAAGCCUGGCGACCUCUCUGCAAACUCCAUCUGAAGCCAUUUAUCACAACACAGCCCAGGUGUGGGAAGAGUAGGCAUAUUCUCUGCUGACCUGGCAGCACCUGUCUGAGCUCAUCUGGCUCCAGGGGCCUCUGUGCUGUGGUACAAACCUGUGCCAUGGCCACCCAGGUGGCCUAUGUCUUGCCCGCUGAGGGCUGGCUCAUCACAGUCACACUGCCUGGUCCCUAGGGUGGAGAAGCUCAGAGCUCCUCCUAGGAAGAAAAUGGGCCCGCCCCUUACCUGGACAGGAGAUAAAGGAGCCUGUUGGUAGAUCAAAUGAGGCUUUAGCUGGGGUCACCCAGACCCUAUUCAAUAGAGGACACAGCUGUGUGAGAGUGAGAAGAAAGACCUGCUACUUCUUAGACAAUUUUAGACACACUGUGUUAAUACAUGACAAAACAGGGGGCACUCUUGGGAAAGGAGUUUGAACAAUACCCUCAAAGUAUAAACUUUCAUUUAGAUCUAAAACUACUGACAAAUUUUGUAUUUCAUGUUAGACAUUUGAUGUUUUGGGAUGUUUUAUGACAGUCGCGCAUUUCUUUGUAAUCAAAAAUAUUAGGGUAUAAUCAUUCACAUAGUGUUUGUGUAUUGCAAAGUAUAGCAAAAUAAAUAUAUAUGUAGAUCCUCCCCCUAUAAGUCAGAAAAGACUGUAGCUCUUUACUCUCCCACCCUGAGUCAAUAAAGGACUGAUAUCUGCUAACCUUUAACAGUUUUCUCUAGGGAGAGAUGUUGGUGUUUUUUCAAUUAGAUGAACAAAUAAAAUCACCA